rnacentral:rRNA from 1 species
GACGGAGGAUGCAAGCGUUAUCCGGAAUUAUUGGGCGUAAAGCGUCCGCAGGUGGUUUUACAAGUCUGCUGUCAAAGCGCGAGGCUCAACCUUGUAUAGGCAGUGGAAACUGUAAGACUAGAGUUCGGUAGGGGUAGAGGGAAUUCCCGGUGUAGCGGUGAAAUGCGUAGAUAUCGGGAAGAACACCAGUGGCGAAGGCGCUCUACUGGGCCUGAACUGACACUGAGGGACGAAAGCUAGGGGAGCGAAAGGG